rnacentral:ncRNA from 1 species
UGUUAGGGUUCUGCCAUGAUUAAUAGGGAACGUUGUGUGAAUCAACGGCUAUACCCGUAGCUGUAAGUUCCAAAAAAAGCAUUUUCAUGCUAUGUCACUGACUUAUUCAAGUUGGGAAGACGUGAAAAUGGGGGACGAGCCAGAAGACCUGCCUUAACG